AAUCAAUUUAGUCUAAUAUGGAUCGUGCUAGGAAAAUCUCAUGUUACACACACUCAGAUAUAUUCCUAAAUAUUCAUUGAUAAUUAAAAGACUUUAAAUAGUCGUGACACUUAUAAUAUUACAGGAAUAAAAACUGAAAUCCUAACAAAUCAAAUCAGAUUUUUUCUUUUUCUAUCCUAAUAAAAUAAAAACUAAAACUACAAAUUAACAUAUCCUCUGCCACUCUUCAAUUUAAAAUAAAAACAAAAGAAAAAUUACAUAAAUACCUUUUUUUUAAUUUAAGUUUAUUCCAACAAAACUCCCACAUAAACUUAAACACGUGAUCUUUCACAAAAAUUGAAUUAUCUUUUUCAAUUAUCUGACUCAUGCUUAAAAUAUUGCUCUUCAGUUCCGGAACAUAGUAAACAUCCCUAAUCUCUCUAACUCGUCCACUCUUCUACAUAUGUUGGAUUGUUCCACGCCCUUUCACGGCCACCUUGAAGUCAUCUCCGAAAGACACAAAUUUGGUCUCCACCUUUGAGUUUAUCACAAAAAAGUUCUCGUUUCCACACAUAUGAUUGCUUGCCCUAGUAUUUAGAUACCAUACCGAGUUGGUAGAAAUCUCAUUAGCCUUCAUCUCUUAUUCAUCUUCUUCUGGUUCAAGAACGCAAGAUGAUGUUUCUUCCUUUUCAAGAGUCGUCUUCUUCACCUCCCUAUAUGCUAAAUCUCUUCAUCUUUUUGUUUGAGUUCCUUAUCCAUGUUUUCCUUCUCCACAUUUAUCGCACCAUUUACUUAGAUCACUUCAUCCAUCAUUGGGACAGAGCUCUCCAUGUCCACUACAUCCGAGCUCUUUGCUAGCAACAGUUCUUCUGCAUCUUGAGAUUAGUCUCCCCAUUUGUCUCAGUCUUGCAAUACUUUGCAAUAUGGCCCGCCUUACCACAAUCGUAGCACUUUUUUUUAUCUACACUCGUUUGCAUAGUGGCCAUACUUGCCACACUUAAAACACUCAACUCCUUUCCCUUGUUCUCGGUUAUGUCAAUUCUACUGAUCGGUUUGCUCUUCACUAUCAUUCUCAAAAUUACCUAGGUCAUGUCCACCUCGUCCUCGGCCUCCUCGUCCUCUGUCGCCAGGACCUCGGCUUUUAUAAAACUUGAUCAUCGGGGGUUCAACCUGAUCAUCCCAACUCAUUCUCCUUUAUUUGUGGGCUUUUAAUGACCCAACAAGUUCAUCCAUUGUGAGAACUGACAAAUCCUUCGAGUAUUCGAACUUGUCUAACACGGUUGUCACUUAUAUAUGCAACCUCCGAUAUUUCUUAGACUUCCUUUGUUAAUUUAGCAUUCACUAUUUUUUUAAUCCCGACUCAUCCACUGCAUUGUAUACCUAUCUCUUGCACGUGUUUUCUUCAAUGUUGCCAUCUAUGUCACUGUCUGAUAUUCGUCCUCACCAUACCUGUCUUCCACCAUAUACCAAACGUCUUGGGAUCUCAAUAACGUCUUCAUCUGUAUGCCCCACUUAUCAUAAUUGGUUUUUCUCGUCAAUUGUAGCACAAUUAUACCGUUGACAACCUUUGACAUCUCUAUAAAAAAAUUAAGCACUCACUUUUUUUU
rnacentral:lncRNA from 1 species